AUGGCCGCCAAGUGGGCCCAGAAGACCGUCGUCAUCCCUGCCCAGCGCCGCGGCUGCCACCUCAUCACCCCCAAGGUUUUGAGGGAGAUUGAGGGCGAUCUCUCCGGGUUCAAGUGCGGCUUGGCGCAUCUGUUCCUGCAGCACACAAGUGCUUCCCUGACCAUCAAUGAGAACUAUGACUCUGAUGUGCAGGCUGACACCGAAACAUUCCUUAACAAAAUUGUCCCAGAGGGCCGAUCUGCUCCUUGGAAGCAUACUAUGGAAGGACCGGAUGACAUGCCAGCACAUAUUAAAUCAUCAAUGUUUGGCUGUGCUCUGACAAUUCCUAUAACUGAUGGACAUCUCAACCUGGGCACUUGGCAGUUUCAGGGCAUAUGGCUGUGCGAACAUCGUGAUCAUGCCAGCGCCCGUAAAAUCGUGGUCACCCUCAACGGGAUCUAA
rnacentral:rRNA from 1 species